rnacentral:rRNA from 1 species
AUACGUAGGUGGCAAGCGUUGUCCGGAAUUACUGGGUGUAAAGGGCGUGUAGGCGGAGCGGCAAGUCAGAAGUGAAAUCUCCGGGCUUAACCCGGAAACUGCUUUUGAAACUGUCGCCCUUGAGUAUCGGAGAGGCAGGCGGAAUUCCUAGUGUAGCGGUGAAAUGCGUAGACAUUAGGAGGAACACCAGUGGCGAAGGCGGCCUGCUGGACGACAACUGACGCUGAGGCGCGAAAGCGUGGGGAGCAAACAGGAUUAGAUACCCUGGUAGUCCACGCCGUAAACGAUGGAUACUAGGUGUGGGGGGACUGACCCCCUCCGUGCCGCAGUCAACACAAUAAGUAUCCCACCUGGGGAGUACGAUCGCAAGAUUGAAACUCAAAUGAAUUGACGGGG